rnacentral:rRNA from 1 species
GCUCAGGAUGAACGCUGGCGGCGUGCCUAAUACAUGCAUGCAGUCGAGCGAAUGGAUUAAGAGCUUGCUCUUAUGAAGUUAGCGGCGGACGGGUGAGUAACACGUGGGUAACCUGCCCAUAAGACUGGGAUAACUCCGGGAAACCGGGGCUAAUACCGGAUAACAUUUUGAACCGCAUGGUUCGAAAUUGAAAGGCGGCUUCGGCUGUCACUUAUGGAUGGACCCGCGUCGCAUUAGCUAGUUGGUGAGGUAACGGCUCACCAAGGCAACGAUGCGUAGCCGACCUGAGAGGGUGAUCGGCCACACUGGGACUGAGACACGGCCCAGACUCCUACGGGAGGCAGCAGUAGGGAAUCUUCCGCAAUGGACGAAAGUCUGACGGAGCAACGCCGCGUGAGUGAUGAAGGCUUUCGGGUCGUAAAACUCUGUUGUUAGGGAAGAACAAGUGCUAGUUGAAUAAGCUGGCACCUUGACGGUACCUAACCAGAAAGCCACGGCUAACUACGUGCCAGCAGCCGCGGUAAUACGUAGGUGGCAAGCGUUAUCCGGAAUUAUUGGGCGUAAAGCGCGCGCAGGUGGUUUCUUAAGUCUGAUGUGAAAGCCCACGGCUCAACCGUGGAGGGUCAUUGGAAACUGGGAGACUUGAGUGCAGAAGAGGAAAGUGGAAUUCCAUGUGUAGCGGUGAAAUGCGUAGAGAUAUGGAGGAACACCAGUGGCGAAGGCGACUUUCUGGUCUGUAACUGACACUGAGGCGCGAAAGCGUGGGGAGCAAACAGGAUUAGAU